rnacentral:miRNA from 1 species
GUGCGGUUCUCCUCUGGCACG